UACGUAGGGUGCAAGCGUUAAUCGGAAUUACUGGGCGUAAAGCGUGCGCAGGCGGUGAUGUAAGACAGUUGUGAAAUCCCCGGGCUCAACCUGGGAACUGCAUCUGUGACUGCAUCGCUGGAGUGCGGCAGAGGGGGAUGGAAUUCCGCGUGUAGCAGUGAAAUGCGUAGAGAUGUGGAGGAAUACCGAUGGCGAAGGCAGCCCCCUGGGCCAAUACUGACCGCUCAUGCACGAAAGCGUGGGGAGCAAACAGG
rnacentral:rRNA from 1 species